GCAUUAUGGGCCUGAUCCAGAGCCCACUGAAGUUAGUGUGUGUCUUUCCACUGACAUCAAUGAGCUUUGGAUCAGGCCCUAUAGGA
rnacentral:pre_miRNA from 1 species